CCUACGGGAGGCAGCAGUGAGGAAUAUUGGUCAAUGGGCGGGAGCCUGAACCAGCCAAGUCGCGUGAGGGAAGACGGUCCUAUGGAUUGUAAACCUCUUUAGGCGGGGAGCAAUGCCGGGCACGCGUGCCCGGAGGGAGAGUACCCGCAGAAUAAGCAUCGGCUAACUCCGUGCCAGCCGCCGCGGUAAUACGGAGGAUGCGAGCGUUAUCCGGAUUUAUUGGGUUUCAAGGUUGCGUAGGCGGAUUUUUAAGUCAGCGGUAAAAUGUCCGGGCUCAACCCGGGCCGGCCGUUGAAAUGGGGGAUCAUUAGUGGGCGAGAAGUAUGCGGAAUGCGUGGUGUAGAGGUGAAAUGCAUAGAUAGCACGCAGAACUCCGAUUGCGAAGGCAGCAUACCGGCGCCCGACUGACGCUGAGGCACGAAAGCGUGGGGAUCGAACAGGAUUAGAUACCCGAGUAGUC
rnacentral:rRNA from 1 species